CGAGCGGCCUCGCGGGCGGCUCCCGGUCCCCAGGUGUGCCCGACGCAUCCGCGCAGAGCACAGCCCUGCCCGUGGUCACUGCGGCCCCUUCAGGGACUGCUCUGCGUCGGAGGAGAAGUGCGACGCGCGCCCUGACGCAGCCUGCAGUGACAACCUGAUAUCCCGGCACGGUUUCAGAGUUACGAUGGUGCGUAUGUUAUGUGUGGACCCGCAGACGUGGCUUGAUUGUUUGCAGUCCCGCCUGGGUUUAAUCACUUUGGAUUAAGUAACUGAUCUUACUACUUAUCUGGCUAUGAGAGGGCUUAUCGCAGGUUCCUUGGCACAUGAUGGGGACUACUCCGUCAGCACAACCGCGGCACUGCGUGGCCCUCUGACGUGUCCGCCUCCAGCACACCGAGCCUUCCAUUUUGGAGAAGAGAAGGCCCCAGGGAGACCUCAUUGCGGCCUUCCAGUUCUUGAAGGGUGCGUACAAACAGGAGGGGGAACGGCUGUUUAUGAGGGUGGUUAGUGGUAGGACAAGGGGGAAUGGUCUGGUCUUAAACUGAGACAGGGGAGGUUUAGGUUGGAUAUGAGGAGGAAGUUUUUCACACACAGGGUGGUGACACACUGAACAGGUUGCCCAAGGAGGCUGUGGAUGCCCCAUCCCUGGAGGCAUUCAAGGCCAGGCUGGAUGUGGCUCUGGGCAGCCUGGUCUGCUGGUUGGUGACCCUGCACAUAGCAGGGGGGUUGAAACUGGAUGAUCAUUGUGGUCCUUUUCAACCCAGGCCAUUCUAUGAUUCCAUGAUUCCUCCAUCCAGUGGGCAGCACGAGGCCGCUCGCUGCCCUCAGACCCACACAGCACAAAGGGGAAAGCUCUGCAAUGGGCACUGUGCGCUACCUGCGGUUUUCACAAGGAACACUGGCCAGUGACUUAAUGGGCAUGAUUGUGGCUGUCAUUAAGGACAGUAUCAGAAUAGCCAGUGUGAACGACGGUGUUGAACGUAGUUAAUGUUUAGCAUUGUUCUUGAGCAGGAGAUAAAGAAAGGGCGAUUAAUGCAUCCCUCAGUUCUGGACAGGCUGAACCAUAGGGGUGCCGGGCUUUCUGAGCUCAUCUGGUGCUGAACGUUUACCAGUUUCCCGCAUUGCAAGCAGGCUGAGGACCAAAGUUCAGCGGCGUUUGGACACGGCCCCCGGGCCGCAGUGCUGGAGCGGCAGAGCUGUGGGUUUGCUUUAAGCCCGGGGAGGCUUUGUCAGCAACUCAGGUGGAAACCCGGCGUCCCGCUUAGCUGAACUUCAACAUCUUGAGAAGUAGCGGGCGAGGGGUCGGCGGGGAGUUGCUGGGCUGCAAUGCCCAUGCUGUGUGACCUUCUCCUACUGCGGGUGUAUGGAUGCCCUCCCAGCAGCAUCCCCUCUACAGAACAUCCCUCCUGCUGGUCCUCCUCCAGGCAGCCUGUGUUUGUGUCAUGGCUGAGGCCAAUGUGGCCCCGCUGCUGACCCGGAGCCCCUGCCAAAGUAGGAUGGGGUCAGCUCCUUCCUGACCCACAACGUGAAACAAAAUCUGCGAUGGGAGCAGCAGGGGAUGUGAGCAGGGCUCUGCGGCCCCAAAACGACCCGCUCCGUCACCGGGCCUGAGCCGCUCGGGUUCGCUUCAUUUGAUGUAGCAUCUGUUUGGUCUUGAUGGGCGUGCGGCCAUCUGCAGCCCACGAGGGACCCGGCUGUUCGGACUGAAACUGCCCUGAGCUCAUAGCUGGACACAGGAUGAGCUGCCGGGCUCCGGGAAGAAGCCGUGGCUCUCUCACUUAGCAGCAGGCCCAUGUGUCGUCAUGCUGAGCCCAGGCCUGCACAUGGGCUGCUGUUGCUGUCUAAAUCCUUCUGCCGUUCGAACUGUGAAACAUGAUGGAUAUAUGGCCGAGCAGGGGGAUUAAAAAAAAAAAAAUAGUGGAUGCUUUGCAUAUCUUUGAGGGCUUAUUUUUAUUCCCGUUUGUUCGUUCUCUCAGCUCUUGGCUGCCGUCGGGUCUGCAGAAACAACAAAGGGGGGUGAGGGAAAGGCCAGCGCUUUGGGGGCUCCUCCUGUUGGUGGAGGAGCUGCAGGCAGCUCCAGCAGCACCUGCGGGCUCCAUCACGCGCAUUGGAACAGGAAAUCUGCUUGCUUUGUGUUUGAAAAAUCAGAUUGAUUUAUCAGUCAAAAGCCCUUUUUUUUUUUUUUUUGCUGUGAAGUGCUGCUUAAAAGAAAUCUUUCUCCCCCUUUCAUUUCAUAAAAGCUCACUCAGAAGUCUUCCAGCAGUGCCUGGGGCUGCUCUGCUGCCAAGAAAUCCCCCGGGUCUGUUGAUUAAGCCUCCCUGAUAUUUCCGGUUUCUCUCUAAUUGUUUUCUAAUGAAAGUUUCAAACCCGAGUCUAAUCAGGAGGUUGGGCCACAGAGAGCUCUCAGCAGGGCUCCUCGCUGGGGUGUUUCUUCUCCUAAAUCAGUAGCUGCCUCCUGCGCGGGGACGAGAAGGUGAUUUUCUGCACGUAAAGACGCCCACAGUGCAGGUGGCAGUGGCUCCAACUGCAGGGUUCUGCGCUAACAUCGCUUUGUGCAGCUCUCCAUUGCUUUUGCCACCGAAAUUACCGUUGCAGUCUGAUCAGGUUUGCCCGUUCGUUUGUCUUUUUGUGGGUUUGUCUUUUUGAGGGAUUGCGGCGUGGUUAUCCCCGCCUGAAUUCCCCGGUGCUUCUACUCUAUUGCCUGCAUCCCCGUGGCGUUCUUUGCUUCCCGCUGUGCCUCCGGCCCAGAAAACAGAGACACAGGAGAGCUAAAAAGGUUACGUAAAGAGCAGACGAAAUGGGUGACAAAGCCAAAAUAGCUGUAAACAGGAGCCUGGUAUAAAUAGAGAGCUGAGGAACACCCGAGCCCGGCUGCUGCGUGGCAGAAAGGUCGGCUCCGCUCCCUGACCUGUCCUGUGAUCCUGAGCAACACGUGGGGGCUGUGGCACCCGGGCACGGCCUCGGGCUCCUUCCUUAUAAAUGUCACAGCAAUGGGAUGGGGCAGGAAGGGUUGUGAGGGUGAGUUCUGUGCAGCUCCAGGGGGGGGAUUUUGUGCAAGCGACAGAACUUCCCUGCAUUUCAUGCAGUUCAUGCUAAGACAGGCUGCUCUUGCAACCCACGUGCUUUACGGAGCAGAAAAGACCUACGGCUUGGCCAGCAUUCAAGCACCUUUCUCUGUCGUCCUUGUGAUGUGUCAGAUAAGGGUUCAAGGUCUUUGGUUGCUUGCAUAGAACAAAAGCAGCUUUUCUUAAGUUGCUGCUGCCAUCCGUGGGCUCAGAUAAGAGGAGUGGUUGGGGGGGUACCACACUGUGUGCUGUGUGCUGUGUGCUGUGUGGUAAGGCCCCCCAUGGGUCCCAGCACGUGCCUGUGGCUGUGCCCAUGCUGCUGUGCUCCGUGGGGUCGUGGCCGAGUGGGGAGAUGGGGACAGCAGGCUGCUCCUGUGCUCAUGCUCAGGGUGAUGUCAUGUUCUGGGGUCCCCAGUAAAGAGAUGCUCUAAUUUGCACUCUACCGCAAAAUAAUCAUUUUAAUUACCCUACCCUAAACGCUGGAAUUUUUUCUGCCUUUUUAAUACAUGUAAGGAUCGUUUUCUUAAGCCAUCUGAAGCCGGGAUAUCCAGCAGCUCGCUUUUGUCACAUGAGGACCGCGCUAUAACCACCGGCGCUCCUUCAGCAGCCUUCAGCUCCUCCCGAGGUCUGCUCCGACCUGCCUUGCUGCGGCAGCAGUGCAUCAGCAGCCGAAGGUUACCCCCUGCAGUAAAUCUGAGGCUACUGCAGGUGUAGCGCGAGCCGGAUUGCAUUUAUUGGUGUGGAUCAAUGGCUCUCAUGCUGCCUUGUCUUAUCACUGUCGGACUGUGUAAAAAUUUGGUCCUCCUCUUGCUUGUAAGAGCCUUUCUUUGGAAAACUGAGCUCCUGGGCGAAGUGGCAGCCUUGGGCAUCACCCACGCCAGGGUCUGCCCAUGCUUCGGGAGCAUCUGUCCCAGCAGACCUGACACAACCUGCCCCAUCUUGGCACUGCAGCAAGGCUUGCCUGUCCCACCAAGAGUGGGGCUCAGAGCUUUGUGCCCCCAACACAUGCAGACCCCCACUCAGUGGGAUGCUAUGCUGGCAUGGCCCUCUGCACGGCCCAGUCCGUGUGUUCUCAUGCAAAAUGCAAUAAAUUCAGCAUUUUCAGGAACUUGGCUUAAUCAGGGUUUUCAAUCUUCUCCUUCGUUGCCUCCUAAUGUACCCUCCUAACAAUGAACUCCGGGUGUUGGGAGAGCGCCAAAUGCAGGGCAAAAGACUUUGUUUUUCUUUCCCAUAAUUAAAUGUCAUGUUCACUGCUGUCUCUCCUGCUUUAUUAAGUGUCCUGGCAUGGUCUAACACACCCGUUGGUGGAUUUCCAUAGGGUCUGUUCGGAGCCCACCUCCUGCUUAGCUCACAUGGAGCAGACGCGGGGCCCUAAGAGGGAGGAAGCAGCUUUCUAAUGCUAUCCUGGGAAAAACAAGCCUGCAAAACCUCUCCCCUGCCCCCACAUGUACUGUGACAAAUACAUUCUGUGCCACCAGGUGCUGUGACAAGGCGUGGUGGGAGGGGAGAGCUGGUGGGGCGAGCUGAGAUGGGGCUGUUGCUCUCCAGCCCUCCGAGCCCAAAGGCACCUCAUCUCCCUUGGGGUGACCUGCCUGGGGGAUGCCCUGCCUCUGCCUUCCCCACCUCCUCCCGCAUCCUUCUUUGCUUUGGAUAAACAGCCCUGAAAAGGGAGCCUUUGUUUCCAGCCGCAUCAGGGGAAUGGCUCCUAGUGGCACCGAUAACCCUGUUUGCAAACAAGAGGGCAGGCCUGACUACAGACAGGAGGCUCACAAUGAGUUGUUUCUCUUGCUUUCGGCACUUUGCCGUGUGAGAUGUGUGACCGACUGCACGUGAGGAGCCUGAGCAUUGGCCUGCCUGGGAGCUCAGCCCUCGGUGACAGUGGGGUCCUCCCAGUUUGUGCACGUCUGUGUCUGGGCCACAGAGACCCCUGCGUCCCCAGGUGGCCAAUAGAUGUGGGUUUUCUUUGUUCUUGGGUUGCCUGCUGAAGACCUGAACAUCACAGAAGCAUGGGAUCAUGAAGGCUGGAAAGGACCUCUAAGAUCACCCAGUCCAACCAUCCGCCCAUCCCACCAUGCCCACUGACCACGUCUUUCAGUGCCACAUCUCCACGGUUCUUGAACACCCCUGGGGACAGUGACACCCCCACCUCCCCGGGCAGCUGUGCCAAUGCCUCACCGCUCUUUCUGAGAGGAGACUUUUCCCAUUAUCCAACCUGAAUCUGGUGGACAGAAGUGCCACGUGCAUCUGUACAGCAGUGUUGGGACAGCUGACCAACACUGGGGUUGGCUAACGUGGGCUUCAGGCUUGUGCAACAGCUGGGAGAGGGCAGUCAGCCCAGCGCAAGGAAAAGCAAUGCUCAGCAAGAUCAGGCUGGGGUGUGUGUGCUUUUAUUUCUACCUUUGGCUGAAAACUGUUGGCUAAAAUGCGAAUAAAAAGUGCUGCUGUUAUUUUUUCAGCCUGUUCAAACUGCCACGAAAAAUACGACCAUUCUGUUCUUUUAUAACCUCUUAUAAGCCCUCAUUUUUAGCUUGCACUCCCCGGAUCCCAUAAAAUAAAUGGGCAGAAACACCAUAAAAAUGAACAAAAUCCUCAAACACGGCCAGUUCAUAUUCCAAGUGUCUUAUUAAAUGCUUAUUUAAAAAAAAAUAUAUAUAUCCCUCUCCUUACAUAAAUAUGUGAUUGUUUAUAAAUCUGUAACUAAUUUUAAACUAUUGGAAACGGCUUCACAGUGGAACGACCCUAUAGCAACAGAGCUCUGCACUGGGAUUCCAGCUGACU
ensembl:lncRNA